rnacentral:rRNA from 1 species
UGGGGAAUUUUGGACAAUGGGCGCAAGCCUGAUCCAGCCAUUCCGCGUGCGGGAUGAAGGCCCUCGGGUUGUAAACUGCUUUUGUACGGAACGAAAAGGCUUUCUCUAAUACAGAGAGCUCAUGACGGUACCGUAAGAAUAAGCACCGGCUAACUACGUGCCAGCAGCCGCGGUAAUACGUAGGGUGCAAGCGUUAAUCGGAAUUACUGGGCGUAAAGCGUGCGCAGGCGGUGAUGUAAGACAGAUGUGAAAUCCCCGGGCUCAACCUGGGAACUGCAUUUUGUGACUGCAUCGCUGGAGUGCGGCAGAGGGGGGAUGGAAUUCCGCGUGUAGCAGUGAAAUGCGUAGAUAUGCGGAGGAACACCGAUGGCGAAGGCAAUCCCCUGGGCCUGCACUGACGCUCAUGCACGAAAGCGUGGGGAGCAAACAGGAUUAGAUACCCUGGUAGUCCACGCCCUAAACGAUGUCAACUGGUUGUUGGGUCUUCACUGACUCAGUAACGAAGCUAACGCGUGAAGUUGACCGCCUGGGGAGUACGGCCGCAAGGUUGAAACUCAAAUGAAUUGACGGGGUCAUAGCU